GUAGGAUAGAGGCCUACCAUGGUGGUAACGGGUAACGGGGUGUUAGGGCACGACACCGGAGAGGGAGCCUGAGAAACGGCUACCACAUCCAAGGAUGGCAGCAGGCGCGCAAAUUACCCAAUCCCGACACGGGGAGGUAGUGACAAUAAAUAACAAUACGGGGUUCUUUCGGAUCUCGUAAUUGGAAUGAGUACAAUUUAAAUCUCUUAACGAGGAACAAUUGGAGGGCAAGUCUGGUGCCAGCAGCCGCGGUAAUUCCAGCUCCAAUAGCGUAUAUUAAAGUUGUUGCAGUUAAAAAGCUCGUAGUUGAAUUUCGGGGUUAGUAGGUUGGUCAUGCCUCUGGUAUGUACUGAUCUCACUGAUUCCUCCUUCCUUAUGAACCGUAAUGCCAUUAAUUUGGUGUUGCGGGGAAUUUGGACUGUUACUUUGAAAAAAUUAGAGUGUUUAAAGCAGGCUAACGCUUGAAUACAUUAGCAUGGAAUAAUGAAAUAGGACGUUCGAUCUUAUUUUGUUGGUUUCUAGGAUUGACGUAAUGAUUAAUAGGGAUAGUUGGGGGCAUUAGUAUUCAAUUGUCAGAGGUGAAAUUCUUGGAUUUAUUGAAGACUAACUACUGCGAAAGCAUUUGCCAAGGAUGUUUUCAUUAAUCAAGAACGAAAGUUAGGGGAUCGAAGACGAUCAGAUACCGUCGUAGUCUUAACCAUAAACUAUGCCGACUAGGGAUCGGAUGA
rnacentral:rRNA from 1 species